GGACGUACAUUCUAGGGCUUCCUACAGGACUUCCUGUCUUACGGUCACUUAACUUUAGCAACCCCUAACAGAGUCUAGAGGGAACCCAGAGCCUCGGGCCAAAGCAAACCACACCGACAAACAAGGCCACGCUUUUCAUCAUCCCAUCACACAUCCCCAGCCGCAGACACCGUUACAGAGACAUCCCCCCCGGCCUUGUAACGCCGUCUGUCACACACAACCUCUCAGCCGCUCGCUCAAACACGGGCUUGAGGAUCCAGGCACGACACGCCCUAUCCGCGCCCGGGGCCUUCUCACUUCUAGCGCCUCGCGGUGUCACGCCCACCCUUCCUGCAGGUUUUGAUCCCGCUCUGAAGUCAACUGAGCCCUCCCACCCCCACCUGGCGCUGACUACUUCCAGGGGCACGACCAACUCACCGCGCAGAGUCCAAAAACCUUGAAGACACGGGAAAGGGACGCAGAAACAGAGGUUGGUUUGGGCCCAGAGGCUCAUGGGAAAUAAGAGCCGGAAAAUCCUCAGAGGCUCGGCGCUUCUAAGCGCUCUUCUCAGGCAAACUCGCCCCGCCCCGAGAAGACCUGUGCCCGGAGAUUUCUGGGAAAUGUAGUCCUCGGCAGGCAAACCCCGAAAGCUGGGAACCUGGACCUUCAGAAUGCUCCCGACAUGCAACUCUGCUCCGCCUCUCAGAGGCAAUGUUUUCCGAAGCGCAAGCGGAUCUCUGCUGCGCGGUCUUUGCUGGAGGGAUUAGUUCGGGUCUUGGGCGACCCUGUGGCUCACUUGACUUUGGUGUGGCUGAGGGUGAAUUAAGACGUUCUCAAAGAAGACUGAGGAACGCAUUCGGGAGUCCAGAACGGGUGGAGGUGGGAAUGGGGGCGGGGAUGACUAGGGACUUAGGCCUCAGUGAGCGGGGGUAUCCGGGAUAAAAUCCAUGGAAGUGACCCUGAGUGGUGCCACGAGCUUACCUGUGUACAAGAGACUGGAGCAAGGUCUGGCAGUUGAAAAGAUGAAGGUGUCUUGCUUUGGAUAUGAGGCAGUUUUUAUUAGAGGUUAUACACCAUUGCUGGAAAGCAACGAAAAGUGGUCGCGAAUGGACAUUGUGAACAGGGGGACCUGUGAGAAGGUCUCUGUAGGACUGAGACUUGAGGAGUGGAUCACCAUCCUCCAGCUUGGAUUGAAAAAGCAAGACACAUUCAUCUUGUGGAGUAUAUCUACAGUGGGAUAA
ensembl:lncRNA